rnacentral:sRNA from 1 species
UUUAUGCCUUGAUUGUCUACUUUUGUUUUUG